ACAUUGGAUGAUCAUUUCUACCUUUUGCAAUAACUACUUCUUAUUUGCAAGUUGUGUUUAAGUGAACAAAGACAAGGACCAGAUUUGCCCAUCUUCUUUCAAGCAGAUGACUGAGUCAAUCCCACAUUACAUAUGAGGAAACUGAGCUACAAACUUUGGACCCUCUUGACAAACGUUUUUGUGUCUUCCAUGAGGAUGAUUACUACUAGCUUGUUGCUGAUGGUAAGCCACAUUUCCUGUCUCCAUAUUGAAGAAAUGAAAUGGCAGCUUGAAGGCAGCAGGACAGAGAUUCGCUGCCAAACAACCAAAUCAGCUGUAACUGCCUGUUGGUAUGGAGGACAGAAGGGCUCCAGGCUGUAUCAUCAUUGAGAUGCAGGAAUUCAAGUGAGUCUUCCGUAUUUGAACUGGCCUGGAGUUGGUGCUUGGGAGUUGAUGGCUACUUCUACAUAUAACUACACAAAGAACUGGCUUAAUAUUAAUGCUCAAGUAAACGAGUCACUAAACAAACAAGAAAAACAAGACCAAACUAUGAAAUCUGUUGUUAAAAGUAUAUUAAAAUUCAGAUUGAAAAUGAUUGAAAUCAAUUAUUAAAUAUGUUUCAAAAAAAGAAAGCAUGCUACAUCCAUUUGGUUUGUUUUCAUAGGUAAUAUCAAACUGCUAAAUAUCACCUUAAUUCAGUCAUUGAUAAAUGUGUGCAAUGAGGUGUAGCCCACAAAGCCUUUAAUCAGUGUGACCAUUCCAAUAUCUCAUGGCCUUUAAUUUUGCUUCUGUUCGGUUAUCAACAUUGGAUGUUAUAACAUCAGGUGGCAUGAUGUGUGACAUUUGUCUGUCAUUCAUUCAUUCCAUUAUUUAUUGAAUGCCUAUUACAGCACAGAAUUUGACAUGGGAGUGGGAGAGUAAUCGUGAACAAUACUAGUAAAAUGCCUGCCCUCAUGAGGAUUAUGUUCCUGUUGUCAUGAAGUUGUCAUCUCCUUCUAGAUGAUAAACAAG
rnacentral:lncRNA from 1 species